UGGGGAAUUUUUCGCAAUGGGGGAAACCCUGACGAAGCAACGCCGCGUGGAGGAUGAAGGUCUUCGGAUUGUAAACUCCUGUCGACCGGGACGAAUGCUAUUGGGGCAAAUACCCCCGGUAGUCGACUGUACCGGUGGAGGAAGCCACGGCUAACUCUGUGCCAGCAGCCGCGGUAAUACAGAGGUGGCAAGCGUUGUUCGGAAUUACUGGGCGUAAAGGGCGCGUAGGCGGCCGAUCAAGUCAGAGGUGAAAGCCCAAGGCUCAACCUUGGAAUUGCCUUUGAUACUGUUCGGCUAGAGACCGGAAGAGGUAAGUGGAACUGCGAGUGUAGAGGUGAAAUUCGUAGAUAUUCGCAAGAACACCAGUGGCGAAGGCGGCUUACUGGUCCGGUUCUGACGCUGAGGCGCGAAAGCGUGGGGAGCAAACAG
rnacentral:rRNA from 1 species